rnacentral:rRNA from 1 species
AGGGUUUGAUUCUGGCUCAGGAUGAACGCCGGCGGUGUGCCUAAUACAUGCAAGUCGAGCGCACUGGCCCAACAGAAAUGACGUGCUUGCACUGAUUUGACGUUGGAUUCCCAGUGAGCGGCGGACGGGUGAGUAACACGUGGGCAACCUGCCCCAAAGCGGGGGAUAACAUUUGGAAACAGGUGCUAAUACCGCAUAACUUGAAAAACCACAUGGUUUUCCAAUAAAAGAUGGUUUCGGCUAUCACUUUGGGAUGGGCCCGCGGUGCAUUAGCUAGUUGGUAAGGUAACGGCUUACCAAGGCGAUGAUGCAUAGCCGAGUUGAGAGACUGAUCGGCCACAAUGGAACUGAGACACGGUCCAU